AUAUCACCAUAGUAACUUGCAAGUAACUCACUGUACUUUAGUGUCAGACUAUCUAAAUUUCUAAUUCAGUGAUGAAAGAUUUUUAGAUGCAGUCAAAUACUUAUCAAGUCGAUGCGUGAGUCAAGAUGGGAUUGACCCCUUCGAAUAAGUAAGAGUUAAUGCAUCAAUGUAUUUUAAUUUAGUAAAAUCUGGAUCUGGAUAAUUUAUGUGAUAGAUUUAAAAGGUUAAAAUAUAAUAUGGAUGACUAUUUUGGGA
rnacentral:lncRNA from 1 species